rnacentral:rRNA from 1 species
UACAGAAGGUGCGAGCGUUAAUCGGAAUUACUGGGCGUAAAGGGUGCGUAGGUGGUUUUGUAAGUUAGGUGUGAAAGUCCCGGGCUUAACCUGGGGAUUGCGCCUAAUACUGCAAAGCUAGAGUACUGUAGAGGAAAGUGGAAUUUCCAGUGUAGCGGUGAAAUGCGUAGAUAUUGGAAGGAACAUCAGUGGCGAAGGCGACUUUCUGGACAGAUACUGACACUGAGGCACGAAAGCGUGGGGAGCAAACAGG